rnacentral:rRNA from 1 species
GAUGAACGCUGGCGGCGUGCCUAAUACAUGCAAGUCGAGCGAACAGACGAGGAGCUUGCUCCUCUGACGUUAGCGGCGGACGGGUGAGUAACACGUGGAUAACCUACCUAUAAGACUGGGAUAACUUCGGGAAACCGGAGCUAAUACCGGAUAAUAUAUUGAACCACAUGGUUCAAUAGUGAAAGACGGUUUUGCUGUCACUUAUAGAUGGAUCCGCGCCGCAUUAGCUAGUUGGUAAGGUAACGGCUUACCAAGGCAACGAUGCGUAGCCGACCUGAGAGGGUGAUCAGCCACACUGGAACUGAGACACGGUCCAGACUCCUACGGGAGGCAGCAGUAGGGAAUCUUCCGCAAUGGGCGAAAGCCUGACGGAGCAACGCCGCGUGAGUGAUGAAGGUCUUCGGAUCGUAAAACUCUGUUAUUAGGGAAGAACAAAUGUGUAAGUAACUAUGCACGUCUUGACGGUACCUAAUCAGAAAGCCACGGCUAACUACGUG